AUAAAUUACCUAAAUACCCUAAGGGCACCAGAUCCUAUCUGAUCUUGGAAGCUAAGAAGGGGCAAUCCAGUUUAGUUUUUGGAUGGGGGACAACCUACAAAUACCAGUUGCUGUAGGCU
rnacentral:rRNA from 1 species